CUCUUCAAUAUUUUUAUGGCAAAUUCUCAACUAUGUGUGGGUAAUGGUAACAGAGUUCACUUUUGGAUUGAUAGGUGGGUGGGUAAUCUGUCUAUUAAGGCUUUGUUCCCUAGGUUAUUUAGUCUAUCUUCAGAAAAGGAGAUCACUCUGAGAGUGGUGCUGGAUAGGAGGGUCGAUCAGUCAGAUGGUUUUCUCAGGUUAGAAGAGCCUUGCUGAGUUGGGAAUCAGAUGAGUUGAUUAGUUUGGGGGCUUUUUUGAACUCUGUUGGGUCUGGAUCUUCAGAGAGAGAUGACUGUCUUCAGUGGCUGGCCAAAUAAUUCUGGGCAGUUUUCGGUCUCGUCCCUGUAUUCUUUGUUGAUGCCUUUCACUCCUCUAUUGGUUUCUAAGUUAAUUUGGAACAAUAUUUACCCCCCAAAAGUGCAAUUUUUUGGUUGGUUGGCGUGGAAGGGGAGACUUACAACUUGUUCAUUUUUGCAAAGAAUUGGGGUUUCAGGUCCUGAGGCUUCGGUCCUAUGCAUAUUCUGCAGGAGGGACGUGGAGUCAGUGUCCCAUAUUUUACUGUGGUGUCCUUUUGCUUGGAGGGUGUGGUCUUGUUUACUGCAAUGGUGGGGGCUGCAUUGGGUUAUACCUCGGAAUGUGGAGGAACUUCUUGGCUGGUGGAGUGGUUUUAGGUGAGGUAAAUUUGCAAAUUUGAUUUGGCAAGCUAUACCAUUGGCUGUAUUGUGGUCAUUAUGGAAGCUCAGGAAUGAGGUUGUGUUCCAAAAUAAGCAAGCAAAUCUGGUGGAAGUGUGUGAUUUGAUCAAACUCAGAAUUGCCAUUUGGGUUAAGGCUCAUUCCAGUGAGGGGUUUUACUCUGUGUAGGAAAUUGUUAAUAACGUCCAGCAGUUUAGAGGUCAUUCUUAAUGUCUUCGUAUUGGAUGCUUGCUGGGUGUUCUGAUGAUUGAUUAUUGCUGGAUGGUUGUAUCUAGAUGCUGGUUCUGAUGUAUAUUGUUGUCGGUGUUGAAGCUUGAAGGGCAAUUUGAUUGUUGAUGUUGCUGGGUUUGUUAUCUGAUAUGGCAGGUAAUCUUGUUAUCUGAUAUGUAGGGCAAUCUGUUGUUGCUGUGGUGGUAGUAAUCUGUUAUGGCAGGUGUUAUCUGUGGCAUUAUGGUGGCAGUGUUCUGGGUUGCCAUGUGCUGGUUUGUUGCUGGUGUGGGAAGCUCUAUGCUGGUGUUUGUUGUUUUGCACGAUGCUGCUGGUUUGCUGUCUUGUGUAGUAGAAAUGUGCUUGGUGCUCUCAUCAGUCUGUCAACAGUCUUAAUGCUGAUAUCUGGUGUUGCUAUCUGAUAUCUGGUGUUGCUUGUUGAUAUCUUGGGUGUUAAAUACCUAGUGCAUUUUAGUGUGGCUAGGUGAUAGUUGGUGUAUGUCCUAGAAAGUGCCGGUAGAGUCUUCAGGGGUAGGUGUUGGUAGAGUUGGUAGGUUGAUUAUGCUGCCAUGUUGUGAUGGUGGUGGAGCUUCUUGUAGGUGUGGCCUUUCCAGUUUCUUUUUUGUUUGAUUGGUAUCUCGCCAAUCAGUGGGUUUAGUGCUUACAUAUGACUGUGCUUCCUCCUUGGUGCCAACCUAGUUGGGAUUGUGGAGUGAUGAUAGCUAUGAUGUUUUUGCACUUCCCUCUUUUUUGAUGUAUUUUGGUACUUGUUCUUGGUCUUUUCAUCAAUAAUAGUUUCCUUUUUCUUUGCUGAAAAAAAAAAAAAAAAAAAGCAUGCACUCUUGUAGUUUGGGCAUAUCUAGGUGCUUGCCCUACUGGUAACUGCUUAUCACACGUUGUCUGGGGUACUCUGUGGAGUUUGGUGGGUCAUAAGGGAAUACUAUUGAGGGGUUGGAUGUACCGAGGCCCUCACCGUGCCCACAACCAUCUACUUUAGCUUAGUAGAAGAUUGUCUGAUGAGAGAAUUGGAAAGAGACUUAUGACACAUGUUCUCCUCUCAUGGGAACAACUCAUUGAUUUUCUCUUGUUUGGAGAUAUAGGCUGUGAGUGUAAAAGAUAAUACUUGGGAAAUGGGUUUCUAUCGAAGAAAGAACAUACUGCACAGUAAAAUUCUUCAACAUUGAUAACGUGUCCUUUUGGUGAAUAUAGCUCGAGGGGGUCUCUUGGACUGUGAAGCUAUUCUUUAUCACCUUAAAUCUGGCCACUUGGGAGGCUUAGGCAUGGAUGUUGCUUGGACAGAGCCAUUUGAUCCUGAGCAUCCAAUUUUGAAGUUCCCAAAUGUCCUAAUAACGCCCCAUGUUGCAGGGGUCACUGAAGAUGCUGUUAGAUCCACGGCUAAGGGACCUUGUGGAGAUCAGAGACAGCUCUUACAAUUGGCCACUCACCUUCAGGAGACAUCUAUUUGAAUGGGAAAAAGAGGAGCUACUCAGAAUUAAUGGAAUUUUAAGAGGAGCACCUACAUUUAAUCUUCAGGUUAAUGAUUUGGCUCUUUGGUCUGCUGCUAAACCUUGUCAGACCCUUGUUUCUAUUUUCUACAACCAUACCAACCUUGCUCUUGGGCCUAAUGUCAUCUUCAGUAGAUGGGUGUGGAUUAAUUAUCUUCCUCCCAAAGUGCAAUUCUUUGGCUGGCUUGCAUGGAGAAAUAAGGUUAAAACAUUAGUUUUCCUACAGCAGCUUGGAAUUUUGGACAGAGAUUCUUCUACCUUGUGUACUUUCUGCAAGUCCCAGCAAGAAUCAAUUGAACAUGUGCUGAUUUUCUGCCCCAUGGUAUGGAGAGUUUGGUCUGAGUUACUGCAAUGGUGGGGGGUUGUUUGGGUAGUCCCUAGGUCUAUUCAAGGACUGUUUCAGUGGUAGGCUGGGCAUAGCUGUACAUUUGAAGAAAGGAGAAUUUAGAGUGCAAUUCCUCUGGUGACUUUCUGGUCAUUGUGGAAACACACAAAUGAGAGUCUCUUCCAAGGCUCACAAUCACAGCUUCAGGAUCUUCAUGAACUCAUUAUCACCAGAUUAGCCUUCUGGUAUAAAGCUGCAUCCAAGAGAUGUCUAUUUUCAAUUAGUGACUUCCUUUUCAGCUUCCCACAAAUCAGAUAUUGCCUUGGUGCUAGGUCCGAGUAGUCAUCUUGCAUUUUGAAGUCCAGUUGCAGUCAAUGUCUUAACAGCAACUUCCUUUGCUUGCUGUUCUGAUGCUGAUCUACUGGUGCUGAUCUACUGGUGCUGAUCUAUUAGCUCUGCUCUUGGUGCUGUUCUUCUAGGCCUGAUCUGUCUUGCUCUGAUCUGAUCUGUUAUGCUUUGUUCUGAUCUGUUUUGCUCUGUCUUGGUGCUGCAAUUCUGGGCCUGUUCUGAUCUGUCUUGGUGCUGCAUUUCUGGGCCUAUUCUCUUAUGUUUUGCUUUGUUUUGUUUUGUUGGUUGCUCACCAACCGGAGCUUGGAGCUUGUGCUAGCUCCAAGCUCCUCUUUAUUGAUGUUUUUCUCAUACUAUGUAUGCUUUCAUCAAUAAAGAUCUCUCUCGUUGUUCAAAAAAAAAUAAAUGACAAGCAUUCUGUGUCAGACAUGGUUACAAGUUCUAGUUAAAAUUAAUACGAAAACAAUCGACAGAUUUUACAUAGUUUGCUUAGAAA